rnacentral:rRNA from 1 species
UGCGUAGGCGGUUCAAUAAGUCAGUGGUGAAAUACGGCAGCUCAACUGUCGAGGUGCCAUUGAUACUGUAGAACUUGAGUACAGACGAGGUAGGCGGAAUUGACGGUGUAGCGGUGAAAUGCUUAGAUAUCGUCAAGAACACCGAUAGCGAAGGCAGCUUACUAGACUGUAACUGACGCUGAGGCACGAAAGUGUGGGGAUCAAACAGGAUUAGAUACCCUGGUAGUCCACACUGUAAACGAUGAUUACUCGAUGUUGGCGAUACACAGCCAGCGUCUUAGCGAAAGCGAUAAGUAAUCCACCUGGGGAGUACGCCGGCAACGGUGAA